UACGGAGGGGGCUAGCGUUGUUCGGAAUUACUGGGCGUAAAGCGCGCGUAGGCGGAUCUGCAAGUCGGGUGUGAAAUCUUGGAGCUUAACUCCGAAACUGCAUUCGAUACUGCCGUGCUUGAGGACUGGAGAGGAGACUGGAAUUUACGGUGUAGCGGUGAAAUGCGUAGAUAUCAGGAGGAACACCGGUGGUGUAGACGGCUUACUGGACCACGACUGACACUGAGGCACGAAAGCGUGGGUAGCAAACAGG
rnacentral:rRNA from 1 species